CUACAGAAGGAUCUCCCUUCGAGGCAAGGAUACUAGGGCACAACACCUUGAACUGCCGCAUCGCCUGUGUCCACAGCUGAUUGCUAUGGUCCUCGAUCUUCUCAUCCUCAGACAUGAUGUUGAUCUCUAAGUAUCGACUCUAGAAACCGUAUGGUUUGGAGAUGGCGAAUAUAAACAUGCAAUAGUGUGGCGAAGUUGAGAAAAUGAAACAAAACAUGUGUUUAGCUUGGGUGCAAAAACCAUUGAAUUGAAGCACCAUGACGUUGUGAUUUUCUAUUUAAUGGCAUAUUUAUCUCAAAUUUGAUUUGGGUGAUGCGGUGCUAAGAUUUGCAACCUAGCAGUGAGAAAAAAGGAACAAAUGCUACAAACAAGGAAGACACCACUAGGCUAUGUUGUUAACGCAAACAUGCACACUUGUCAAUUCAAAUCUUGAAGGCCACCUGAAAUUAUGAGGGUCGGGAGGCGAAGAUUCAAGCAUUUUCAAUUCCACAAAUUGCAGAUGGUGUAUGAGUAUAUAAAGUUAAGCAUGUCUCUGCAUUUUUGUAUAGGAUCCGAACGCUCCUCGCCCACCAUCUUGACAAAUUAGUGUUGAGUGUAAAUGCUAUGGUGAGCCUCAACAUGUAGUAAAGCACACGUGUGUAGCAAGCCUAUUUGGAUGAAGGAAAAUUAAGGCUCGUGUGCGUAGCAGGCUCCAAGACUUGGUCACAAUAUUAAUGGAUGGAUAGCUAAUGCGCUCAUCAACUUUCCUUAGUGUAAGCAUGCCCGACACUUAUAAAAGACACACUCCGCAGCCAAACAAACAAGAUGGGGGUGGAUGCUCCCGAGAUAGAGGCACUUCAGAUAAAUAGUGAGGGUGGAUGGAUGCAAUCCAAUAUGAAAUAAGAAUGGGUGGCAUAUGGAAACACAUCAUCUCCAAAAAUCAUUCGGGGCAUAGAAGAACUAAAAAAUGUGGUAUAUACUAAGAGGGGAGGCAAGGGCAUGACUAAUGUACACAUGAAGGAGUGAACAUGAAAAGAUGGAGAUCCUUCACAAAUAGUCUCGAGGAAGAGAUUGCCAUGUGAAGUGUUGCGGCUUGGCCUCGUGAAGUUAGAAGUACUUGCAAACGAUAAAGCGGCUACUACUGCAACUACCAAACAUCUUGUCAAGGAACUAUCCCGCGCCACCUAACGCCUAGUCCAACUCCCAUCCUCCUUCCUCAUCCGACCUCCUCGUCAGCUCCAGCGACUCCGACGGCCCUUUGAACGUCGAUGCAUAAUAAGACAACAAUUGGAAGGGGAAGGCGAAUAAGUGUUGAAAAUUAUCCCUGUCUAUUAUUAACUCAUUUCUAAUCAAUUGUAGUCUUGAACUAUCUAUGUUCUGAACAUGCUACCUGGAGUGGUGUAAUGAACUUGCAUGUCUGAUCAUAUCGAUAUUAUGCAUUAAAUUGAUCUGUGUUGUGUUGAUCUAUGUUGUAUGAUAUUGUGUGGAUUUACGGGUUUAAAUAAGAGAGGGACGGCCGCGGGUAAAUGAUGGGCGAGCCGGCACUGUCCGCGGACAAUAGUAGAAAUGAAACAUGAAUAAAACCUCUGAUUCUCCAAAUGCAACAUUAAAUAUGACACGACCAAAGACUAUGCUCUAAUAUGCUCCAUCAUAGAGGAAUGCUAUCUACUCCCUCCAUUCUUAAAUAUAAAUCUUUUUAGACAUUUUAAUAGGG
rnacentral:lncRNA from 1 species